rnacentral:lncRNA from 1 species
GUUACCGAACAAGCUCUCUAUGAUGCCGGCUUGAGUCUGGUCCCCCGAAUAGGUAUCGCCCGAUCCCCCGGCUUUUCUUUUUGUUCGGCUCUUGGUCCGGCUUUUAACAUUUUUGUCGGUAUUGCAGGGACACCACCAAGGAUGAGGCCGACGGACGCCGAGAUUCGGCAGUUCGCGACGAGGAAGAGGCCAGCGUCGGGGGCUGGCCCUUCACGCCCUCC